AUGGGCGGAGUUACUGCGCCGGGAUCUUAUAUAACCCAGCGGAGCAAUCUUAAGUUAGUCUUGUCAACAUGAAACAGUUCUUGUGCCUCUCCCUCUGUCUGCUGGCUCUCUGCCUCGUUGGCGUGACGGGAGGUGCAUUCCGGGCGAGGGAUGCACGGCCGAGGUGACAGCUGGCUUGGACUGCGAGUUCGGAUUCGUGACGGACCGCUGCAACAGGUGUGAAUGCGCCAAGGGGCUCGGCGAAGUGUGCGGCGGAACGUGGGACUUCUCUGGCAUCUGCGCCAAAGGUCUCGAGUGCGACAAGGAUGGCGAAUUCUCUGAAGGCGUGUGUGUCAA